GCUGUACCUAUUCAAGCUGAAACUAUUGUUAUUUUGAGAAACUUUGAUUCUAGUUCUCCGACUAUGGGCAUGAAAUCAGGCCAUGAGAACUCACCUCCUAGUAAGGAUUUGACUCUAUGGUACUUAAGGUCUCCACUUUUGAAUUGUCUUCCUAAUGUAGAAUUUAAUACAAUCCCCUGUUAUAAGUGUUUCUUGAACAAAAAUAUUAAUACAAUGAUACUCUGCAUUUUAAAUAUUUUCCUACUUUUUAUCAUCCAGUCCAGUUUCAAUGGAGCCAAUCUGUACACUGAGAUAUAUAAGUUUACACAGCAGAGAAAACCUUACAAAGACCAUUUCUGUAAUUGAAAAGUUUAGUAGUAGGCAUAAAACAAAGCAGAGAACUUCAUUUCACUACACUCUUCCUGUACUCAUUAAAAUGUUUAGGGCUGACUGAGACAGCUGAAUACAAUGGGAAAUGCUAAGUGUUUUUGUCUUUUUGUCUUUAUUAGCAUAUAUAAUGCUUCAGUUUGCUGAAAAUAUAGUUAGUCUUCAUUGCACAGUCUUUUCAAAAAUAUGUUAUCAUUACCUUUUCCAGUACUAUUGGAAUGAAAAAGAUGUUUCAUCUACUUAUUUAUAGAUUGUCCCAGUAUUGUUCUCCAGCAAUUUCUAAAGAAUAAGUUUUGAAGAGGUGCUUUGAGGUGCUUUGUUUUUUUACAUAAGACAAAAUCUGAGAGUGUUUUCAUACUUGGAUCAUUUGUUGACUGGGGCUGAAAUAUUAUUUAAUAAUAGAGAAACAAAUGAAGAUGAGGAGGAAAGGGCAAGACCAACUAUGGAUGCUCUAGUCAAUUUUCCACAGCAGUCACUUGGAGAACAUGCUUUGUUAUCUAAAGAAAUAAAAUCUUUCUAGCUCUCUCCAUUGCAUAAGGACAUCUGAAGGCCUAUUAUAAGAUUUUGCAAUAUGGGUGCUAGGAAACCAGAGUGAACAACAUGGUUUGUUUAAAUUAACAAAUUUACAUUUCUUCCCAGUCACAAGUCAUCUGCAAAAAUCAAUUUCACCUGAAGUUUUGCCCACGAUUUCCUUUCUCUAGGCUUACCUUUUAUUGUGCUGUGUUUGAGCAUGAAACAUAUAAUUAUUUUUGUGCAUGCCAUUUAUAAACUGAUCAGAAAUGGAUACUAAAGUGCUUCAGAACAGAAAAGCUCAUUUGACAUUCAGAAAAUGUGUUCUUGCUAAUAUGCCCCUUGAAAGUGAAAGUAGUAAAUGUGUUAGUUGCUCAGGUGUGUCCAACUCUUUGCGACCCCGUGAACUGUAGCCUGCCAGGCUUUUCUGUCCAUGGAAUUCUCCAGACAAGAAUACUGGAGUGGGAAGCCACUCCCUUCUCCAAGAGAUCUUCCCCACCCAGGAAUCGAACCCCAGUCUCCUUCAUUGCAGGUGGAUUCUUUACCAUCUGAGCCACAGGAAGCCCCAACAUGCUCAUUAUGAAUGUUAAAAACAGCGUUUAUAUUCACUCCCAAGAUCCCUGGGGCCAAGGAAGUAUUUGUACUUGCAACAUAUUCUAAUCUAGUGAUGCUAUAAUUUAUGAGAAAAAUAAGAUAUAACUUCAUAUUAGCUCUUGGUGAGUUUUUUUUUUUUUUUUUCCUGUGCAUGUGUUUCUCCUGUUGGCUUCAAAUACUUUAAUGAAGCAUCAUUUUUGGGUUUCUGUUAUGUACCUUNNNNNNNNNNNNNNNNNNNNNNNNNNNNNNNNNNNNNNNNNNNNNNNNNNNNNNNNNNNNNNNNNNNNNNNNNNNNNNNNNNNNNNNNNNNNNNNNNNNUUUAAUGAAGCAUCAUUUUGGGGUUUCUGUUAUGUACCUUCUUAGGAAUAAAUUGUUAUUUGGAUGACUUCAGAUUGUGUAUUUCAGCCAUAGACUGUCAAUUACAGGUGAGAAGGAGGUAUGGAACAAUCCGCUUCUUCUCUUCUAGGAUCUUUUGUUUUCCCUUGAGCUUGAAGAGACCUUUUGUUUCUUGAGUCAAGAGCUCUGUCUAAAAAUCCUCUCGGUAUGAAUUCAUUAUAUUCAUGAAUUCAAAAUGGCAUCUAGAUGAUGAUGACAGUAGUAUUUAUAUUUAUAAGAGCGC
rnacentral:lncRNA from 1 species